CUUACCCUGUGAAUCGGAGAAGUCUCUUUGAUACACACUUCUCGUUUCACAGGGUAUAUU
rnacentral:pre_miRNA from 1 species